GUAUCACAUUGGACUACAAAUCCGAUGUCGAGGGUCAAUUCCUUCAGUU
rnacentral:tRNA from 12 species